CAGAAAUCCUCGCCAAGCAAUCUCUGACCAUCUCAAGACCAGUGGAAGAAACCCUGGGCUCCAGAGGAACUCGAGAGCAGAGCUACUGACCGGUGCCUCUCCAAGGAAAAGGCCUUGCACUGCCUCUGCUUCCCCACCAAGGAAAAGCCCUCAAGAGCCUGCACAGCAAGACUGCAGCCAGGACCAUGACGUCAGUGCCACCCAGAAGCUGCUUGUCCUUCCAGAUCCUUCCAUGGGGAACAGAGGCUUUCAUUCCUCCAAUAGAGAUGCUGCUGAUGUGUGAACCAGAGCUUUGCAGCCUCUGUGUCCACCGGAUCAAGAGGUGUAUGAACAGACGGAUCCACGCAGGCCUCGGGCACGUGGACAGGGCUCAGAGCCACACUCCCCGCCCUGACCAGCCCCCUCUAGCCUUGGGUGGUGGUCACAGCGACAGUACAAACGUCACCAUUCCCUGUGACGGACAGGAAGUGAAGAUAGUCAGAGGGCAGCAGAUCGUCCUGGUGAGCAGAUUUUCAACAGCGUGAGUUCUGCCAGAGGCACCCCACCCCCUCAGCUUUUUAGCCAGCCCGUCACUACCUGCAGGAGGUGGGGCCAGGGUGCAGGGCCAGGGCUUUGGUGGAGAAAGAUUUGCAUAAAUCCAGCCAUCCCAGAAUCCUCCCUGGUCAAUUUUUUUUUUCCCCAUUCUUAUCCAAGAAGAGUCCAAGACUUUUAUCCAAGAGAAGAGUCUGCCUCAGCCAGCCUCAUGUCCUUCCUCUUCUCUGGCCCUGUGCUCGGAAUUCGGGAGCAGAUGUGGCAGCCUGUGACUGUGCCCUUUAGCCCUGGUGGCGGGGGACACCUCCCGUUACCAUUCAGCAGGAAGACUCCAGAACUGACAACCAGGCUUACCUCUGGCAGUUCCAUCAACAAAGUCCUCCUCCCCCCACAUUGAAGGGAUUAUUUUAAAAAUGAGAAUGUGAUAGAUUUUCUAAGCCAGAGCUAUAUUGCUUUCCCCCAAAGCAGUUUUCAAACAUUUCAAAAAUGUUAGCUAGUGAGUCCAAAAGCUCCUUUUAUUCUUUCUGUUUUCUCCCACUCUGAAAAUACACACACGUAGAUCUGUGUACACAGCACACUUGAAGGCAUAUUUUCCAGGAUGUAACUAACAAAGGGAAGAAUGUGGUGGUGGUUGGAAUUCUGGCGCUUGCAAGACAUGGGUCUGUGCUCUGCAUUUCAGUACAGAGGUGAUCACACUGUUAUGGGCAGAGCAUCUGCUCCCUUCACCUGCAGCCUCCACCCUCCUCUUCCUCUGCUCCCUGACCUGACCCGAGAGGCGUUUGAACUAACACGAUCAAGGUGUCGGGACCAGUAUCCCACCCUCCCGCCACCGUGCUUGGCAAGUUCCCAGGGCCUGCAAGUCACACACGGGCCAAGUCGUGGCCUCUUUCCAACAAAAUGGGUACAUGUCCAUGUCAGGCCCAUCUUGCUGCCCUUCAUUAUAACUGUGGUCAAGGAGAAAGGAGUAAGUAGGCUUGGGUACUACAAGGCAAAGCAAUAUUCGAAAGUUUAACAUAUGCUUAUUUUCUAAAAUGUAAGACCUCCAUGGUGAUUGGGGGACUUGGGUGCCCGUCUUCAAUUCUUGUGCCGCAAAGGCCGGGAGGAAACCAUCCCUUUCCCAGGUGCUCUGACCUUGGCCUUGGGAUGCGUGGGCCCACUCCCCAUGUACAGAGGCGGCAUCCUUUGCACAUGGCAGGGCUGUGUGGAGAAACGGGCCCCUGGUGCCUGGGACAUUCCUUCACAGAGGCUCUCCUAGCAACAUGGCGACGCCAGCCAACCCAACAAUGACCUUUUGUCUCUAGCUCUCCUCAGCUCUGUGGCCAUUAGUCUCACCAGAAAACUCAAAGGAUAUUUUGCAAGAGAAGAGUGGUUGCGAGCUAAAGCUCUGAAUCAGUUGCUUUCCUCUGCUUUCUGCAAAUAUCAAACUGGGCUUGCGCCAGAUGAUCGCUUUAGGAGCAGGAAGUACCCAGAGAGGUGCCCUGGAUGGGGGAAAGCUGAGUCUGGAUGGCCCGCGUCCUGGCUCUGGGUAGGGAAGCCCCUCUGUACCACAUCCCUGAACUGUCUGGACCUUAGUGUCCUCAUCUUCCAAAUGAAGCACUAAUUCUCAACAGCGCAGAGUCCUUGCUAACAGUCCAGAUUCCCGAGCUAACAGUAGUUCCCCUGCUGACUCAGAAUCUCUGGGACUGAGCUCUGCCAACGUGACUUUUCACCAAAGGCCAAUAUAGACCUUGCUGAACAAUUGUAAAAACGCUUAGGUAAUUAACUUUCUAAUUUUGUUUACUUGGCACGAGAGGACCAACACACACACACUCAGGAUUGGUAUGCUACAUGCAUUGUGGGGAAUGUGUUUUUUUUUUCUGAUAGAGUUUGCAAAGGACAGAACCAGCCCAUUUUCUUUGCUGUUCCUGGUUAGUUAUCUUCUAUACAAGAAUGUAAAUCAUGCCUCUCUAUCGGCAAAUCACUUUGGACUGUGUGCUUCCAAUAGAUACACUUUAAAAAUUUUGAUAUAUCUGUAUUUACUUAUAUUUUGCUUUAGUAUGAACAUGUUACGACUGUGUUCCUAAUGUUAAAAAAAUAAAUGUUUUUAAAGGAAAAAAGUUGAAGUGGGAUGUUAAAAAUUUGGUUAGUGAAAAUUUUGGUUUAAUACUUCCUGAAAUAGUGAGAUCAGCAAUAAUUUGUGGGAGUUCCUGUAGUGGCUCAGUGGCAACAAACCCUACUAGCAUCCAUGAGCACGUGAGUUUGAUCUCUGGCCCUGCUCAGUGGGUUAAGGAUCUGGCGUUGGCAUGAGCUGUGGUGUAGGUGGCAGACAGGGCUUGGAUCCGGCAUUGCUGUGGCUGUGGCUAGCAGCUGCAGCUCCAGUUCGAUCCCUAGCCUGGGAACUUCCAUGAUGCCAUGGGUGUGGCACUAAAAAGCCAAAAAAAAAAAGAACAAAAACCAAAGCAAACCCAAAACAACUUGUGAUGUUGGUUUUGAGUUCACUACAUUUUAUUGCUUAGUUGUAAUACAUAAAAAUGUGCUUCACAAAAGUAUGUGGAUUUAAGUGGGAAAAGUGCCCUGAUUUUACUGCACUUAACAAAAUCAUGAUAUUGAUUUUUGUAAGUCCCUCUGCUAAUUGUCCCAAGGUUUCUUAUGAGCUAGUAAAUUUCCGUUUUUCUGAAUG
rnacentral:lncRNA from 1 species